rnacentral:rRNA from 1 species
AGGAUUAACGCUGGCGGCGUGCCUAACACAUGCAAGUCGAACGAGGUAGCAAUACCUAGUGGCAGACGGGUGAGUAACGCGUGGUCAACCUACCGUUGAGUGGGGGAUAACUAGCCGAAAGGUUAGCUAAUACCGCAUACGUGUCCGAGGGGCAUCCCUUGGCCAUAAAAGGAGCAAUCCGCUCGAUGACGGGACCGCGUCCCAUUAGCUAGAUGGUGGGGUAACGGCCUACCAUGGCACCGAUGGGUAGCUGGUUUGAGAGAGCGACCAGCCACACUGGGACUGAGAAACGGCCCAGACUCCUACGGGAGGCAGCAGUGAGGAAUUUUCCGCAAUGGGCGCAAGCCUGACGGAGCGACGCCGCGUGUGGGAAGAAGGCCUUCGGGUCGUAAACCACUGUCGAAGGGGACGAUAAUGACGGUACCCUUGGAGGAAGCCCCGGCUAACUACGUGCCAGCAGCCGC